UUUCCUUUGGGAUAACUGGUACGUUUGCAAAUUAUGUAAAAUAGUUUUAUCUCUUAAAGCGAAUGAUUAGAGGCGUUAGGAUCGAAACGAUGUUAACCUAUUCUGAAACUUUAAAUGGAUAAGAACCUCACCUUUUUUGAUAUAAAGCUUAUGGUUUUAAUAUAAUGUGCCCAGUGGGCCACUUAUAAUAUAAACGUGUUAUACAUGAAACG
rnacentral:ncRNA from 1 species